rnacentral:rRNA from 1 species
GACGAACGCUGGCGGCGUGCCUAACACAUGCAAGUCGAACGUGAUUGGAAGCUUGCUUCCAUGAAAGUGGCGCACGGGUGAGUAACGCGUAGAUAAUCUACCUGAUGGAUCGGGAUAACACUUCGAAAGGGGUGCUAAUACCGGAUAAGCCCACGGAGUCCUUGGACACUGCGGGAAAAGGGGGGGACCUUCGGGCCUUCCGUCAUCAGAUGAGUCCGCGUACCAUUAGCUAGUUGGUGGGGUAAAGGCCUAGCAAGGCGACGAUGGUUAGCUGGUCUAAGAGGAUGAUCAGCCACACUGGAACUGAGACACGGUCCAGACUCCUACGGGAGGCAGCAGUGGUGAAUUUUGCGAAAUGUGGGAAACCCUGACGCAGCAACGCCGCGUGAGUGAUGAAGGCCCUUGGGUCGUAAAGCUCUGACAGAGGGAAAGAAAUGCAGGGGGGCUAAUAUCCCUUUUGCUUGACGGUACCCUCAAAGGAAGCACCGGCUAACUCCGUGCCAGCCGCCGCGGUAAAAC